rnacentral:rRNA from 1 species
AUUGAACGCUGGCGGCAGGCUUAACACAUGCAAGUCGAGCGGAGAUGAGGUGCUUGCACCUUAUCUUGGCGGCGGACGGGUGAGUAAUGCUUAGGAAUCUGCCUAUUAGUGGGGGACAACAUUCCGAAAGGAAUGCUAAUACCGCAUACGUCCUACGGGAGAAAGCAGGGGAUCUUCGGACCUUGCGCUAAUAGAUGAGCCUAAGUCGGAUUAGCUAGUUGGUGGGGUAAAGGCCUACCAAGGCGACGAUCUGUAGCGGGUCUGAGAGGAUGAUCCGCCACACUGGGACUGAGACACGGCCCAGACUCCUACGGGAGGCAGCAGUGGGGAAUAUUGGACAAUGGGGGGAACCCUGAUCCAGCCAUGCCGCGUGUGUGAAGAAGGCCUUAUGGUUGUAAAGCACUUUAAGCGAGGAGGAGGCUUACCUGGUUAAUACCUGGGCUAAGUGGACGUUACCCACAGAAUAAGCACCGGCUAACUCUGUGCCAGCCGCCGCUGUAAGAC